rnacentral:rRNA from 1 species
UACGUAGGCAGCAAGCGUUGUUCGGAGUUACUGGGCGUAAAGAGUGCGUAGGCGGUUUCCUAAGUUUGGUGUGAAAUCUCCCGGCUCAACUGGGAGCGGUCCCUGGAUACUGUCAGUCUUGAGAGACCUAGAGGAGAGCGGAAUUCCCGGUGUAGUGGUGGAAUGCGUAGAUAUCGGGAAGAACACCAGUGGCGAAAGCGGCUCUCUGGGGGUUUUCUGACGCUGAGGCGCGAAAGCGUGGGGAGCGAACCGG